rnacentral:rRNA from 1 species
ACUCCUACGGGAGGCAGCAGUGGGGAAUAUUGCACAAUGGGCGAAAGCCUGAUGCAGCGACGCCGCGUGAGGGAUGACGGCCUUCGGGUUGUAAACCUCUUUCAGCAGGGAAGAAGCUUAAUCGUGACGGUACCUGCAGAAGAAGCACCGGCUAACUACGUGCCAGCAGCCGCGGUAAUACGUAGGGUGCGAGCGUUGUCCGGAAUUAUUGGGCGUAAAGAGCUUGUAGGCGGUUUGUCGCGUCUGCUGUGAAAACUCGGGGCUUAACCCCGAGCCUGCAGUGGGUACGGGCAGACUAGAGUAUGGUAGGGGAGACUGGAAUUCCUGGUGUAGCGGUGGAAUGCGCAGAUAUCAGGAGGAACACCGAUGGCGAAGGCAGGUCUCUGGGCCAUAACUGACGCUGAGAAGCGAAAGCAUGGGGAGCGAACAGGAUUAGAUACCCUGGUAGUCCAUGCCGUAAACGUUGGGCGCUAGGUGUGGGGCUCAUUCCACGAGUUCCGUGCCGCAGCUAACGCAUUAAGCGCCCCGCCUGGGGAGUACGGCCGCAAGGCUAAAACUCAAAGGAAUUGACGGGGGCCCGCACAAGCGGCGGAGCAUGCUGAUUAAUUCGAUGCAACGCGAA